ensembl:lncRNA novel transcript
AGGCUGGGAUUGUAGUCCUGCAGCCUUGUGGCCGAAGGGCUGGGACUGGCCAUGAGAUUACAUGUCCUAGCAUGCUCAGCCAGGCGCGCGCAGCUCUGCCCCUUCCUCCAGUGAUGCGCACAGUCCCUGAUCCCUGUGCACGCUGGGAUUGUAGUCCUGCAGCCCUGCGAUCACUUGCAGGUAACAAGAAAUUUCAGCUUCCGGCAUGAUGGGCGAAGGCCCCCACCUUCAGCCUCGCUCCUCCAUGCCUUCAGAGCUGUUCCGCCAUGCAGACGGGGAGCCUGCCUGUUCUUUAACCUCUCCUACCUGAUGGGAGAGGACAAGCUACCAGGACAGCUUGUCUCACCAAGAAAUUGUGAUACCGCAUCCCCCAACGUGCUGGCUUCCUGACUUCCAAAGUUGCGGCAAGGUAAGAAGAACUACAGAGGAAGAACCUAAUGCAGACGUUUCCCAGGAGACUUUAACUGAAGUAUCAGCAAACUGAAAGCCUACACUGCGGAUGCAGAUAUAAACUUACUCUCACCUAUAUGGAUCCAUACCAUCUCAGACUGGAAAACAGCCAUACAAGGUUAUGUUUAAACAUCAAUAAAGCUUCACAUAUAGGUG